UUGGUUUUUAGUUUUUAGGCUAAGGAGGUUUUUAUUAGAACCUCUCCCUAUAUAUACCUGUUGAAUUCGGAAGCCUUCCUAUGGAAUGUCUAAGCCAAAGAAAAUAAUUCAUGGGGUGGAAGCAGAUCUUAAAGACUAGAAACAUGUUAUUGCAAAAAUGUUAGAUCAUUCUGCAAGAGUUGGUUGGCAUUAGACAAUUUGUGGGGAUUAAGUUUCCCCAACCAUUCAUAUAUUGGUUUGCAUCUGUGCGCGGACUCCUGACUCAGGACAGAACGCGACCGUUUGGGUAUAUGUUCUGUUGACGCUGGCCUACUAUGCUUGAAGGAUGAAGAAUCUGAUGUUCCUUUGUUCUUCCUGUUGUAGUCUAUCUGCUGAUGUUUGGAAUGAUAUAACGCUCUGGCUUAAUUUCCCAUUUGGAAGUUAUGAAUGGGAUGUGAUCAUUGGAUGGUUUACUGAAAGAUGUAAAGGGGGGGAGUGCUUGAAGCAAGUGCGAAGGUGGGCUUUCAAUCCUACUAUUUACCAGUUGUGGAGAGAAAGGAAUGCGAGACUACAUGAUGGGAGAUGGUGUGGAGUUCUAAUUUUUGGUGAACAGAAGCACAAUGAUGGUGUUCAGGGCCAUUUUUCACCUUUGAAUACCUCCUUAUGUUCAUGAUUUUAUUGAGCAGAUUCAGAGAUGAGAGAGUUGCCAGAGUAUGAUUGUUCAUUUGAUUCUGUUACUUGGUUUUUUCUAAUGAUGUUGAAUAAUAUUUUGUCAUCAAGGCAUACCACAACUUUUUGAAUGGAACUGUUAAAACUUAUCUUCCCUGGUGUAGAGUCCAGCUAUUUUUAGACUUUAGUAAAUCAGGAAGUAACUCAUCCCAUGCCCUUCCAUUGAAAAGAAAAGCUGCUGGUGAAUGAAAAUAGUUUCGUGUGAUAAACUGCAUAGGUUUGAACUAAUCUUCUGAUGUUUGAAAAAAAAAAAAAAAGGUUCCAAAGAUCAUAGCUCUGAGAUAAACAUUUGUUAUCCACAAUUUCUGCGAGGACUCUUCUAGUUUUUUUUUUAAAUAUAACUUAUGUGAAUUUGAAGUUAUCUUUCUCAAGCUGAUUGGAAGUUUAUUCAUCAUCCAGACGAUGGCCAUAAGAUACAUGGAUCCUUUGUCAAGCAUGCACAACAACCGAUGUUGCCGCCUAAGGUUUCGACUUCAGUAGCCAACUGUUCUUCAGGUGAAAAGAGAAAAGCUUCAGGGCCUGCUUCCAAGUUCUUCCCCCUCCAAAGAAAAAUACUAUGCAGGAUCAUCUAAAGACCCACACAUGCUAGAAGAUGAUAUGCAAACUGUACCAUCUACAAAAAUACUCAAGUUAACAUGGGGAACACUUAAGCUGUUAACUCAACGUCCCCCAGUGUUUUGUAAUAGAGUCUCCAGUUCUCGGUUCUUCCAUUGCAAAGGGCUCAUUCAAAAAUAAGCCUCAGACUCCAGCCAGUUCUUUUGUCUUCCAAGAUCCCUCCACGAGGGUUACAAUCUCAAAUUGACAUGUCUGUUUCUCCUGUAGAAAAUUCAUCUCUUAAUGCCAGUGGUGCUAGUAGUAACUCCAAGAAGAUUGUUCCUUCCUAUGCAAUAAUCUCUUUUGAAAUUAUCGUCAGCCCUCUCAAACAUGAGGGUUAUUAUGCUGCUGAGCUGAGCUACUAUGUCUCAGCUCCUCCUGUAAAAUCAAGUUCAGAGAAGAUGAAUAAAAGCGAACAUUUUGGUGGUUCUUGUUCCGCAUGGAGUUCAGAGGAACCAGUUGCUGUUGAGAGAUCUCCUUCUACAACCUAUGGGGAAGCUGAAGGAAGCUUUACUUCGAUCUUCCUGUUUUGAUUUUUUUGAUGGGGACUUCAAUAAGCAUCUUUGUGAUAUUGAGCUUGAGUUUGAACAAGUUUACUCUUCUCACCAAUCUUUUGCUCCUGCUGAUUUCCAUCCUGGGCAUGGUUCUUGCCAAAUAUAUCCCUUCUUAGUAUUUCUAUUGUGAUAUUCUCUUAAUGGUAACCUUUUUGAAUAAUACACGUUUAUUAUGUAAACUGAAUUCCGUUUGGAGCAAAACUUGGGCAACGAGUGUUUGGAGACAAGUCGAGUUUUGCAUAACCCUCAUCUGUCUGGAGCAACAGAGAUUUUUUUCCCAGAAGAACAUGGAUUCUUAUUUAUUAGUGCCUCCAAGCAAUUUCCCCUAUUCAGCAUACUGCGGUUCUACUUUUACUUGGGAACACUUCGUUAUUUUCUUUGUUACAUUGCAUGAGAAUGAUCAAGCUAAAGCCAGAAGCAGCUGCUCACUGGAACAAACUAAUUCAUGGGCUAAACCAAAGAUGUUCUGCCAUCAAUGGUUCUGGAAGUGAACUGUACGAUUUUCAAACCUAACCAUGACCAUAUUGAGGUACAUCACUUCAGCGCAA